rnacentral:lncRNA from 1 species
GUAAGAAACCAGAGCCCUCAGGGCUCCUCCCAGCUGCAGCAGCCGGUGAGUCCAUUCCAACAGUUUUCCCAUGCAGCCAGCCUUCUCGUGAGCAACUGCCAUCGCAGCCCUCUGUCCUAGCUCACAUGGUGGAUGCUGUGUUCAGGGGAUAAUGAGGGAUCAUCAUGGCUGCCUUUUUUUAGUUCUCAAGCUCAACUGAAAACCGCCACCGUAGUGCUGUUAAGGUAGCAGCCUGGGUGUUCUGGGGCCUGCUGAGUGGCGGGGACAGGCCACAGUCACACUGGCCUGUUGUGGUGCUGUGUUGUUGUAACCAAGGCCGGGAGGCUUAGCGCCUCGCGUCUUCUAUCAGCUGGAGACUAUUCGUGUCUCUCAGUUCUCAGAGGACUGUGCCUGAAGCAGCAUUAUGUUCCCCAAAGACACAUGACAGGUGGCUCCAUUCAGUGCCCAGGACAGACACAAGACCGGCUCCGUCCCUGCUCAGACAGCUGUAGGGGACAGCGAGUCCCUUCCUUCCUUGGCUGGAGGAGACUUCACCCAGGCCCUGCCUCUCGUGCAUCUCAGGGUCCCAGCUCUGAGGACAGUGACAAUGAGGAACACCAGUCGCUGCUUUUUGUCAAGAUUGAAAAAGCUUCCUUGUGCUGGCAGCCAAUGCAGAGAUUCACCAGGAGUGAGACAGAAAGAGAGAUACAGAGGCCCAGGACCUCCAGCCAUCCCCACAGCCCAGAUCCACCCUGGGCUUUCCAAGCGCUUGAGCCAAUAAAUCUCCUCUGCUCUUUAUUCCUCCUAAACUAAGUUUCUUUCACCGACAGCCAAGCAUUUACUAACAUGCUCAAGAAAUACCUGUUGGGGCCAGUCACAGCUUCCCAAACCCUGGCAUGUCUUCAAGAUCCCAGGUCUAAAAGGCCCUGGUUCUAAAUCAACGAUCGGGACCCCACAAGUUCCUGAUAGGUUUAAUACACUCUCACAGAUCUCCAAAUGCCUUUGGGCUCACUUGGCUUACCUCAGCCCAAAGGAUACACAAUGUCUGUAAGUUCAUUUUUCUGCAUGGAAAAUGCCUUGUACAACCAGAGCACCUGGCCAAUUACUCCAAAAUGACUGCAGACCUCCAUAAGGAAGGCUCCUGGAGGACAUCCAUGAGGAAACCAGUGGCAACAGGAGGAUGAGCGCCUGAGGGUGAAGAAAGAGCUUGCCUUCUUCAAGCCCAGCCGGAAGAGAACGAAGGUGACUUUAUUCUGAGAAAAAGCCCCUUAGCCAACAUUUGUGUCUCUUCCAAAAUUCAUGAUGGAGCUGAACCCGCAGUGCAGAAGUGUCAAGAGGCGGGGCCUUCAGGAGACCAUUG